AUUGAACGCUGGCGGCAUGCCUAACACAUGCAAGUCGAACGAGAGGAGGACGGGUGAGUAAUUUCUGGGCAACUGCCUACCGGAGGCGGCUAACUACUGGAACCCGUAGCUACUACCGCCUACCAUCAGUUGUGCCCAGAUGGGAUGAGGUUGUCGGGGGGGUAACGGCUCACAAAGGCGACGCUGCCUAGCUGGACUAAGAGGAUGACCAGCCACACUGGGACUGAGACACGGUCCAGACUCCUACGGGAGGCAGCAGUGGGGAAUAUUGAGCAAUGGGCGCAAGUCUGAAGCAGCCAUGCCGCGUGAGUGAAGAAGGCCUUCGGAUUGUAAAGCACUAUCAUCGGGGAAGCGUUACCCGAAGAAGAAGCAACGGCUAACUCCGUGCCAGCAGCCGCGGUAAUUC
rnacentral:rRNA from 1 species